rnacentral:rRNA from 1 species
UACGUAGGGCGCAAGCGUUAUCCGGAAUUAUUGGGCGUAAAGAGCUCGUAGGUGGUUUGUUGCGUCGGCUGUGAAAUCCCGAGGCUCAACCUCGGGUCUGCAGUCGAUACGAGCAAACUAGAGUGUUGCAGGGGAGACUGGAAUUCCUGGUGUAGCGGUGAAAUGCGCAGAUAUCAGGAGGAACACCAAUAGCGAAGGCAGCUCGCUGGGACGGUAUUGACGCUAAGGCGCGAAAGCGUGGGGAGCAAACAGG